CCGUCGAUAGCUCAGUUGGUAGAGCGGUGGACUGUAGAGGUUUCACGCUAUGGACAUCCAUAGGUCGCUGGUUCGAAUCCGGCUCGACGGA
rnacentral:tRNA from 1 species